CAUCGGUUAUAUCUUAUUAAAUCCAUCCAAUAGGAUUCAGUCAUUCAAGUGAUAUCAUGUUUGGUUAUAAAAUCAAUAUUCAAGUCUGGAAAUUAUUUGUAGCAUAAUUUUUCCGUAUCAGAUUUGAUAGAGUGACAUCGAUUUCGACCAAUAGGAAUUUUUGCGUGUUGUGAGCAACGCGUAUUUCGUUUUUGAUGUGUAGUCAGCAGUCCCUCUUUCUCCCUGAAGGAGCGCUUGCAUGCAGUCUAGCCUGUUCAUGGAUAUAGACCUAAUUCAAAAAAGGUUGUCCUUUGCAUUAAUAGACAAUUCCCAUUAUAGACUAAUUUUAAAAUUAGGUAAGGAAACUCAAAUAAAUCACCACAGCUAGAAAGAGCAUACUAAAAUUAGUAAAAUUACAAAGUUUGGUUGCGAAAUGUUGUAAAAUGAGGAAAGCAUAUAGAUGAUGAUAAACUUUAUUUAACCACGCUAACAUUAGGACCAUUUAUACGGGACAAAAUAAGACGCGACUUACAUAAGACGCGACUUAAAUAAGACGCGACUUAAAUAAGACGCGAGUUUGUCGUAUAAAAGGUACAAAAUUCUUAUGUAAGACGCG